AUUGAACGCUGGCGGCAGGCCUAACACAUGCAAGUCGAACGGUAGCACAGAGAGCUUGCUCUCGGGUGACGAGUGGCGGACGGGUGAGUAACGUCUGGGAAACUGCCCGAUGGAGGGGGAUAACUACUGGAAACGGUAGCUAAUACCGCAUAACGGCGCAAGACCAAAGUGGGGGACCUGCCGGCCUCACACCAUCGGAUGUGCCCAGAGGGGAUUAGCUAGUAGGUGGGGUAAUGGCUCACCUAGGCGACGAUCCCUAGCUGGUCUGAGAGGAUGACCAGGCACACUGGAACUGAGACACGGUACAGACUCCUACGGGAGGCAGCAGUGGGGAAUAUUGCACAAUGGGCGCAAGCAUGAUGCAGCCAUGCCGCGUGUAUGAAGAAGGCCUUCGGGUUGUAAAGUACUUUCAGCGGGGAGGAAGGCGGUGAAGUUAAUAACUUCACCGAUUGACGUUACCCGCAGAAGAAGCACCGGCUAACUCCGUGCCAGCCGCCGCCGUAA
rnacentral:rRNA from 1 species